GCGGAUGCUAACGCAAUGUG
rnacentral:sRNA from 1 species